GGUCCAUCGUACCGCGAGCCCAACAUCUACGAAUUUGGAACCCCUUAUCACAAGAUGUACGAUGACCUCCUCCGCAAGAACCCUGAAUUGUACAAGCGCAAUAGGAUCUUGCCGAUGUUGAAGAGGAAUAUGAGUGUGAAGCUAGCGCCUCAGCGCUGGUAGGAUAAUGCUGCUGAUGGCCCCUUUGAUGUUGUUCUCAGUUUCGAAGAUAGGGUUUUCGAUGCGAUCGUUGAUGAUUUUGUAUUCGCUUUCAUCUCUCGAGAUCAUGGUGGAAACGAGGGCUUCUUCU